GCAACGAAUCUUAAAGACUACAAUGUAGCUCUUGGAAUAUAUAUUGCAUCAAUAAAGAAGGAAAAAACCCGCAACAAUUCAUCAAUUUUAGCUGGCACUUCUGAGGCUGUUUUGGCGGUGACGUGCACCUGUGUUCGGGGACUGAAACUGUUGAAGGCUCAGUACUGCAGUGAGGACAGAUGCACCAGAGAGGCAGGUUGAGUUAUACCGAUGGGCCCUGCUGCACACCUAUGCAGAUAGUUCUCCAGCUCUGCAUAUAGACUCCUCUGGUGCACGAUUACAAUCACACCAUAGGCUUCACCUGAACCCAAGUGAUCCGCACUCCAGCACCUCUGCAAGCCUGCCAGGGCAAACGAUCAAGGAUUUGGUUUGAAUAAUGUGAGCUUGGGGAAACAACAGUCAAGAAGGGUGAACGAAGACACUCUCUCCGUCUAUCUCACGAGCUCUAUUGUUCAGAUGCUUUGCUGAAAUAUAUUGAUCAAAGGUAACUUUUCAGCCAAGCCGGAUUAGUCCAAGUGUGACCCUGCCGAUAAAUCCUCUUUUACAACUUCACAAGAGGUGCCCUAUAAUCCUCCUGCCCUUGACCUUUGGCCAGCAAUUCGGCAACUUCCCACUUAUGCCUCCUGUCAUCCAAUCCAAACCACGAGGGUCAAAGUCCUUCCCAAAUAAAACAAUUUUCAAACCGCAUGCAUUAUAAAUGCCUCUUUUCUCCAUUCCAAAUCCUCUCUGACCUCAAACCUUAUAGAGGUGACAAAAGGAAGAGUGUGUGCUUGCUGAAAGGCUUUGGGCUUCAUCGGCUCCCUACUAAUCAAAUCAGACUCUUCUUCCUUCGCCCUAAUGUGGGUUUUUUAAUUGUGUUACGGGCAGGGUCAGGAAGAUGGGUCUUUUAGAGGCAAUAACAAGGGCACGGAAAAGAAUAUAUCGACUGUUGAUGUUGGGCAGAGCUGGUACGCUCUAGGCGUUGUUAUGGCAAUAACCACAUUAAGGCACAUCUGGUCCAAGCUACAGCACAGACAUUAGGAGAGGAUGAAAUUGAUGAUGCAGAAGUGAAAAACCUGAUUCAGGUCAAGAAUUGAUCAAAAAUGAGAUACAUUGUGGUUUAAGGAACAUGUUAAAAGAGAUGGACCAAGAGAGGUGUAUUGAACCUGUCAAUUUACGUGCCAUCAGAAUAUGAAUAAUGCUUUUUAAAGGUGUUGUUUCACAGAAUAAGGCACCAGUGCUAAUUUUG